UUUACUUGAGCGUGAAUGUAGACCUUUUCACAGUUGUAAACAAACAUUCUAAAUGGACCCGAGUUGAUUUCCUGUUGCAGUGUAUGAAUGGCA